rnacentral:rRNA from 1 species
GAUGAACGCUGGCGGCGUGCUUAACACAUGCGAGUCGAACGAUGAAGCCCAGCUUGCUGGGUGGAUUAGUGGCGAACGGGUGAGUAACACGUGAGUAACCUGCCCUUAACUCUGGGAUAAGCCUGGGAAACUGGGUCUAAUACCGGAUAGGAGCGUCCACCGCAUGGUGGGUGUUGGAAAGAUUUAUCGGUUUUGGAUGGACUCGCGGCCUAUCAGCUUGUUGGUGAGGUAAUGGCUCACCAAGGCGACGACGGGUAGCCGGCCUGAGAGGGUGACCGGCCACACUGGGACUGAGACACGGCCCGGACUCCUACGGGAGGCAGCAGUGGGGAAUAUUGCGCAAUGGGCGCAAGCCUGAUGCAGCGACGCCGCGUGAGGGAUGACGGCCUUCGGGUUGUAAACCUCUUUCAGUAGGGAAGAAGCGAAAGUGACGGUACCUGCAGAAGAAGCACCGGCUAACUACGUG